UCCUUCCCCUCCAUCAAAACCAAGAGAAAAACGUGUCUGCAGUUCCGUUUUGCCACUGCACGCCUCUUUCCGUCGCCGGAUUCUUGGAAUUCUUCGUGCUGCGGAAACCAUGGUGCUGCACUGUUUCAUGGAGAUCACUCCGGUGUGCGUCGCCAUCUCUCCGAACCUGCAGCGAAAACCAAUCAACCACCAUCACCGCUGCUUAUACACAGAACAUGAUCAUCCGUCAAGUGAAAUUGGCACCAUCUCAUUGAUCGUCAAACAUUGCUUGUCCAUCAUCAGUGUUAGACGCCAUUGAGAUCAUGUCCAGCAACCAUGAACCUCGAUGUUCUCUUGUGAUGCUUGUAUCGAUUGUUUGCUGACGUUAGAAGUGGAGCUACAUGAGGAGUAUAUCUUUGAGAAGUGGAACCAUCGGCAAGUGUUUUGGAAGGCAAGUGUAACAUGAGUUCCCUUGUUACCUAAUAACUAUUUAAUCACCUUCAUGUGCAUGUGUCUAAUAUGAUAAACCCAUAAGGACUUUACCUAGAACUAUUGUAUCUUGUAUCCUUGUUUACCCUGGGGUUAUGCAUAUGGGUAGUUUGCUUAGUCUGCAAUCACCAAACUGUAUAAUACUAAUACUGAUUAAUGAUUAUGGAAUCAAUAUUAUAAUGAUGCUUUCUAGCAACAUGGAUAUCAGGGGGCUAGAGCAUUGGGCCUUUUUGGGUGCUCUAGUCUGCCCUCCGUAAGGA